UUUCUGUAUGCUGACUAUAGUAUCCUUUUGGACUGCAGGAUUUGGCACUUAGUGAUGCAGUACUUUACUGGUUUGGCUUCUUUCUCCAAGGCCAUUUGUAGCCAGCGUUAAUAUGGAGUGAGAGGUCCAGUCUACAACUACUCAUUUGAGAGACACUGCCUAUUUCCGUGUGUACUGAGAGCUGCUCCCCUGGUAAUUUCAAAAGAAAGCAGGAGGCAAAGCCAUUUUGCUGCUAUGAUUGUCAUCCAUGUCCCAAAGAGAAAAUAUCAAGCCAGAAGGGUAAGAGGCAUCAUGAACCAAAUUGCAUUACAGCUCUACAGAAAGCUGAGUUAUAUAUUUUGUUUGUUGAGAAAUUAUGCUGUCCUCAGAAGGAAGGAUUCUUUUACCAACUAAACGGAAGACUUAAGGCAAAGAGUUAAGCAUUCAACUAUGGCUCUUGUUUAACAAACAAAGAAAAAGAAGCAAACGAUUAACUGAGUGAUUAAAAUAAUAUUGAAACUCCCAA